GACGUAGGCGCGAGCGUGUCCGGAUUUCGAUUGGUGCGUAAAGGAGCUCGUAGGCGGCUUGUCGCGUCGUCCGUGAAAACCCGCGGCUCAACCCGUGUGGUCUGCAGUCGAUACGGGCAGGCUAGAGUUCGGUAGGGGAGACUGGAAUUCCUGGGUGUAGCGGUGAAAUGCGCAGAUAUCAGGAGGAACACCGGUGGCGAAGGCGGGUCUCUGGGCCGAUGACUGACGCUGGAGGAGCGAAAGCGUGGGGAGCGAACAGG
rnacentral:rRNA from 1 species